rnacentral:tRNA from 1 species
GCGCGGGUGGUGGAAUUGGUAGACACGCAUGGUUGAGGGCCAUGUGGGCGCAGCCCGUGUGGGUUCGAGUCCCACCCUGCGCACCA